rnacentral:rRNA from 1 species
UGUCGCCCGGGGUACCUUGUUACGACUUCACCCCAAUCAUCAGCCCCACCUUCGGCAGCGCUCAAUAUCUCUAGCUUAAGCUGCUGACUUCGGGUGUUGCAGACUCUCAUGCUGUGACGGGCGGUGUGUACAAGGCCCGGGAACGUAUUCACGGCAGUAUGGUUGCCUGGCAUUACUAGCAAUUCCGGCUUUAUGUGGGCGAGUUGCAGGCCACAAUUUGAACUGGGACUACUUUUGGGGUAUUUGUUCCCCCUUGCGGGCUCGUUUACCUCUGUUGUAGCCAUUGUAGUACAGUGUGUAGCCCAGGACAUAAAAGGCAUUAUGAUUUUUCGGCGUCCCAUCCUCUGUCGAUUUGUGAGCGGCAAUUUUUUAGGCUGUCCAUCUUAAUUGUUACCACUUAGAAACAUUGUUUUUUUUUUUUU